GCAAAAAACCGUGCAAAAUUACGCCCCGCCCCUUUUUCGAUGCGGCGUGCUUGCUUUUCACGGAUCUUCCUGAAAAAGUUGAUUUUCUUGAAAUUCCCGU
ensembl:ncRNA W03D8.13 ncRNA